ensembl:lncRNA
AAACUGUGGCUGCACGCUGUGCUGCCCAAACGCGUGCUUGUCUGCAUUCCACCAGUGUCACAGAGGAGAAACCUGCCCACACCGCACAAGGACAAAGCCGCGUUACUUACUGAGUGCUUCCCCCGGUUCCCUGUGCAUUAAAAAAAAGGCUGUAUCCUGUAAAAUGUACCAUCCAGCUCAUUUACGGUUUUGGAUGGAUCACUCAGGUACCGCAGGGUUAAACAGCUCAACCGCAGCCAACAGCUUUACGCAUGGCUUCCUCGUGCGUGCGGUCUUUGUGCCGGCGUCCUGGUCACAUCGCGUUGAGGCAUGGACUACCAAGACCACAGGCAACACACAGACACCGCGCAGAUCAAUUUGUAUGUGCUACAUCUUUGCUGUGAAAUAAGAGGGGUUUGCGCUUAAAAUGGCAAGUGCAUGCUUUCUGGUUACGUUGGAUUGGAGGAUGAGGUGCUUAACCUCCCUCCUGCCAGUUCUGCAUGGUCAUGACCUGUCAUCACGCCCCUUCCACAUCCCACCUCGUCCUAUUGGUCCUGCUCCUUGUCACUCCGCCCCUGGCUGGGACCGCCCCUGCGUGGGUCGAGGGAGGGGCAGAAGGGGGCACCCGGACAGACCUGAGAGAGGACAACCUCGGCCCCUUUCUCUCGCCCCCGCCUCUGACCCUCUCCGGCCCUGACAACGGUUCGUUAGACCAGGGCCCGGGUCAAGACGACCAAUCAGAUAAAGGGAUGGACCCUAUGCAGGUGCUCGCUGUGCUGUUGGAGGCUCUGGACCACCCAGAGGAGGGAAAAAUCUAUGCCAGUAGAGACAGAGUUUUGGAAGAGGAUGAGAGUCAGAAACUGCCCUCCAUUGAAGGCGUCGCGGGUGGUGAGAAAAGAAGAACGGGGGAGACAGAGGGACAGAGGGGGGUGGAGGAAGAGGGGCGAGGGGCUGAUAAGGCAAUUGAACAGCUAAUUGUAGGCCAUUUGACAGCUGCUCAGGGGGAUGGCUCAAAAGAAAGGGAUGAGGAAGAUAAGACCACAAGGUCAGAGGAGAAUCAAGGGUGGUCUGGGAGGGAUGUGCGAGGCGAUAGCGUGAACAAGGAGGAGGAGGAGGAAGAUGAGGAGCAGAAGGACGGUCAUAGUUUGGAAAGUUUCCUAAAGAACGCCAGGCCAAGGACCCCCUCACUGGGAGAUGAUCCAUCUCUGCGGCGCAAAAUAAGAGGCUACUUCCAAAACAUUGACUUGGGUCUCCAAGAUAAUGAGAUCCUGCCUCCUCUGAAGGGCUACAAGGCAUACAACACUCAGCUCGCGCGAGCCGGAAAGAAGCUGCACUGGGAGGGGAACCAGGACCGCAACCGACCCUCCGACGGCGGCGGCGGCGCCGGCAACUUCAUGGAUGAGUUUGAGGAUGAAGGAGAGGAGCUGCAGGAGGAGAUUGAGGAAGAAGAGGAGAGCCUCUCCCACAUGCAAGAAGAGGCGAGAGCGCGAGCAGAGAAACAGGAGGUUCUUCGCCAGCAGGAGGAGGCGGAGCGUGCCAGAGAGGAGGAGCAGAGGCUGGCAGACAUCGCCUCCGACAUGCUGCUGCAGUACAUGGGGAGGAAGCAGCAGUCCUACAUGAAACCCCGGCAGAAAAGCAGCCUGGGCCCCGCCAGCAACACCGCCGAGGACAAGCGCUCCGAGGAGGUCGUCGCCGACGAAGACGACGUCGACCAGCAGAUGAUCGACAGGCUGAUCGAGAUCAGCAGCAAGCUGCACCUGCCCGCCGAUGACGUGAUCGAGAUUAUCAACGACGUGGAGGAGAAGAAGAAGAAAAGGAAAGAGCUGCAACAAUUACCGAUCAACAGCAACCCUGUUGCCCCGCGCUUCAGGCCUCUGGUACCUCCUCCUCUGGCUGCUCCACCCAUGUACCACUACACCGCCUCGAAAAACCCCAAGAAAGCCCCUUAUAGGUACAACAAGUCCAACAAGAAAUGGCACAAGGACAAGGUCUUGUCCUAUAAGAAGGACUAUUGGUAUAAGCCUCAGAAGCAGCUUGACUACUGGUAUAAACCCCAGAAACAGUUUUUAGCCUUCCCCUCCUACCCAUACUACCAGAAGCCAUAUCGAGCAUACUACCCGGUUUAUUUCCCAUAUCCCAAAGCACAAUAUUAUGGCAAACCCUCUCCCUCCAUAGAACAGCCGUUCGGCCCCCAGGAACUCGACUUCCAGCCCCCGAGGCGCAGGCACAGGGCCGGGGGUAAGAACCGCGGACAGGGCUGGAGGCAGCAGCCGGCGCCUCGCCUGCCGCUCAGCCCUUAUAUCUCUAACUACAUCCUUCCCCACCCACGGACCUACCAACCCCUGCCCCCGCCCAAACCAAUAACCCCACCCAGGAGAGGGAGGCGACCCCCGUACUACUAUCAACAAGUCACGCCGGGAGAUGACUACGAGGAAGAUGGUCUGGUGCCUCAGUUGGACAGUGAGGAGGAGCUGGAAAACUUUAUUGAGAGGAUCUACAUGAAACGUAGAAUGUAUUGAGAGACUUUUUGGACAUUCGUCGGAUCAGACGGGCUGGCCAGAGGUGGGAUAGAUAUUCAGUAGCUGGAGAAAAGCUAAAAGAGAAUGUGGGUCGGGGGUAAGAUUCAGGGGGCGACGGGUUUUGAGCCUGAAUGAAAUUGAAGGGUCUUGGUGUGAAAUGUUUGAUUUAUGUUGUUUUACUCAUUUUAUUUUUACUUUCUCGGUCAGGGGGAGGAUGAACGGUCCCAGUUGAAUCUCCCUGUAACCACAUUAGCCUCUUGCUCAGUUUACAUUUUGAAACAGAACAUACCAUGGUGUAUGUCCGCCUCCAUUCAGGUCAAUCUCUGAAUCUCUUACAUUGUUCAGAGGGAACACACACACACACACACACACCAACUUAUAAGCACAUUUUUGACACUUUCACAAGCAAAUGGGCCCAUUUUCAAAGAACCAUGUUUACAAUAUCACUUGUUUUAUAUUCUGUAUGUCUUAUUACAAAACUAAAGUAAUUCUCAAAUAUAAAAAUAACAACACUGCCAUUGUCAAUUCUUCAAUGAAAGUAUUUUUUUUGUUGUUAUUUGAUGUUUGUAGUUUCCUGUCCUAUUGUCGAUUGGAUCAACUUGUAACAAUUUGCAAACGUGCCAAACAACCACAUAUAGACAUUUCAGUUUUUCAAAAAAUUCAGAUUUUUUUCCUUUCAAGCUCAUGGUUUUAAAAGGGUUUUCCCUCUGCAUAAUAUUAUCAUCACAACCGAUCCUAAAAGAGAAACCCUGUGGAAUCCAAAAGCACAAACUGAAAACACUAAACACUUCCAACCUGGUGGUCAAAGAAUGUUUAUCAUUCUCUCGAUAUUUGUGGAUCCACCAGUUCACCUUUGACUUCUGGGACUCCUUGAACUUUUAGGAGUCAUUUUUAUCUUCCUCACCUUCCCCAAUUGUUCAUCUCCAAUUACUGAUAAAGUGACAUCCUCACUCACUUUUUUUAGGGUUUUUUCACAUAUUGUUCUUUUUGCCAUAUUUCUUGAAUCCUGUAUUUAUUUUGUUUUUUUUCCUUUGCUUCCCAGCAAAAAAAGGAUACUUGAAAUCACAAUCUAUUUAGCGGCUUUUUAAACCGAAAGCCGACAAGAGGCUACACACGUUUUUUUUCUCAGAAGAAUUUCAUUGAAAAGUUUCAGGCCCGGGGAGUCAGGGAUUGUGCUUAAAACCGUUAAAUGCACGUCUUUCUACUUGCAUCUUAAAAAAUGAACAAAAAAAAAUAAACAAAAAAAGAGAAAAAAUAAAACAGUAAAGGAAAAAUCCAGAUGGUUGUUUUCUCUGAAUAAACUGUGAACAUUAAAAAAAAGAAAUCUCAAAAGGAGGAAGGCCACUGUGUCCACAGUGAAGCCAUCUGUCUUGUAAAAGGAGAGUGUUGUUGUUGAUGUCACCUUUAGCAUUGUAACAUGUACAGUGUGAAAUAAAUAUGCCCGUGCAAUGUGUAAAUAACAGCAUGAUGAUUACUAGUUUUGCUAUAUGAAAAAAAAUAAAGGUAAUUAUUUUAUUAAAGUUCAGUUUUUUAAUGGCUUUUUGGCGAGUGCUAUGUUGUACUUGUAUACAAGCAAAUAUAAGAACACUUCAGUAGCAAAUCCCAAAACACAGAAGAGGAAGAGAAUCGCUUGAAGCUUAUUGACAGCGUCGCUCAUAGAAGUUAAGAAAAUUAAGAAAACCUAGAGGGUGUUGAAUAAAUUCCAAGACAGUCAAAAAUGAGAAUGGAGGGGAAAAAAAGAAUGGAAAUAAAAAAGGGGGAGGAAUAACCAAAGAAUGGAAAAAUUUAGAAGGGAGGGAGGGAAAUGGUAACUGCAGUGAUUGAUGAGUCACGUGAUUGGUGGAUGAGUCAUCCAUCUCCACACUUUACUGCGCAGGGCCGUGUGCGCGCACACACGUGCACGCGCAGACGCGCGCACGCACACCCUCUUUUUUUGAGCUGUAUAGUAAUUUAGCUUCUGGCAUUCAAGAUAAAGAUUGAGUCGUGUUCACCCUGCCUCCAGCCGGCCGAUCAGCCAAUGGAAAGGUGUUUGAUAGAUAGGUUUGAAAAAAGAAAUAAAAAAUGUUAGACCAUAUCUUGUUUCCACACCUCCUCUUCACUCUCACAUCACUAAGGCAAUAUGCCCUUGUGCUAUAAUUCCUUAAGUGCUUUUGGCUUCAGCCCUUUCGGCAUCAAAACAAACCUGACAUAUGCAGUCAGCACACAAACACAGUGAUUAGCAGGCUGUCAACACGGUCAAAUCGCAC